rnacentral:rRNA from 1 species
CCUUGCCAGCCCGCUCAGAACUUAAAGGAAUUGACGGGGCCGCACAAGCGGAGGAGCAUGUGGUUAAUUCGAUGAUACGCGAGGAACCUUACCUGGGCUCGAACGUAAGAUGACUGUAGGUGAAAGCUUACAUCUCUUCGGAGCAUUUUACGAGGUGCUGCAUGGUUGUCGUCAGCUCGUGCCGUGAGGUGUCGGGUUAAGUCCCAUAACGAGCGCAACCCCUACCUUUAGUUGCCAUCAGGUUAAGCUGGGGACUCUAAAGGAACUGCCUACGCAAGUAGUGAGGAAGGCGGGGAUGACGUCAAAUCAGCACGGCCCUUACGUCCAGGGCUACACACGUGCUACAAUGGCCGAUACAGAGGGCAGCUACCUGGUGACAGGAUGCAAAUCUCCAAAGUCGGUCUCAGUUCGGAUCGGAGUCUGCAACCCGACUCCGUGAAGUUGGAUUCGCUAGUAAUCGCGCAUCAGCCAUGGCGCGGUGAAUACGUUCCCGGGCCUU